AGAGUUUGAUCCUGGCUCAGGACGAACGCUGGCGGCGUGCUUAACACAUGCAAGUCGAACGGAAAGGCCCUUUCGGGGGUACUCGAGUGGCGAACGGGUGAGUAACACGUGGGUGAUCUGCCCUGCACUUUGGGAUAAGCCUGGGAAACUGGGUCUAAUACCGAAUACACCCUGCUGGUCGCAUGGCCUGGUGGGGGAAAGCUUUUGCGGUGUGGGAUGGGCCCGCGGCCUAUCAGCUUGUUGGUGGGGUGAUGGCCUACCAAGGCGACGACGGGUAGCCGGCCUGAGAGGGUGUCCGGCCACACUGGGACUGAGAUACGGCCCAGACUCCUACGGGAGGCAGCAGUGGGGAAUAUUGCACAAUGGGCGCAAGCCUGAUGCAGCGACGCCGCGUGGGGGAUGACGGCCUUCGGGUUGUAAACCUCUUUCACCAUCGGCGA
rnacentral:rRNA from 1 species